UACGUAGGGCGCAAGCGUUAUCCGGAAUUAUUGGGCGUAAAGAGCUCGUAGGCGGUUUGUCGCGUCUGCCGUGAAAGUCCGGGGCUCAACGUCCGGAUCUGCGGUGGGUACGGGCAGACUAGAGUGAUGUAGGGGAGACUGGAAUUCCUGGUGUAGCGGUGAAAAUGCGCAGAUAUCAGGAGGAACACCGAUGGCGAAGGCAGGUCUCUGGGCAUUAACUGACGCUGAGGAGCGAAAGCUGGGGAGCGAACGGGAUUAGAUACCCCUUGUAAGU
rnacentral:rRNA from 1 species